rnacentral:rRNA from 1 species
GAGGGAAAGUUGAAAAGAACUUUGAAGAGAGAGUUCAAUAGGGCGUGAAACCGCUUAGAAGAAAACGGACGGAGCCGUCGGGAGCCUUUGGGAAUCAGUCGUGCGGUGCGUCGCCGUCGCGUAGUCUAGAGCGCAAGUCUAGCUGCGUGACAUGCAUGGGUGACGUUCGUGCGGCGCAUUUCUCGAAGGUAAGCACUGCGACCGAUACGAAAGGCCGACGAAACGUGCGGAUUGAGGGCGAGUUCUCUCACGGGAGCUCGUAACCAGUCUGUGCGUCUGAGUCGUCGGACGUAGUAUGUAUCGAAUGCCAAAGUAUUGAAUACGUCGGCGUAAACGCUCGCUCGUGCAGUGGCUAGUUGGUCAAUCUGGUUGGUAUCUGCUCGCAGGUGCCGGCCGAUUCGAUUCGACUAUAAAACUGUCGGCGACAUAUCGACGUAUUGGCUAUCAGCAGUGUCAGUGUCGGCCACCCGUCCGACCCGUCUUGAAACACGGACCAAGGAGUCUAACAUAUGCGCGAGCCAAUGGGUGGAAAACCCACAGGCGCAAUAAAAGUAAACGCCGUUUCGGACGGCCGAGGUACGAUCCUGGGAUUCGAGCGAUCCCAGGCGCAGUACCGUCCCGUCCCGACCGCACGUCGGUAGGGCGGCGAUAGAGUGCAUACGUUGGGACCCGAAAGAUGGUGAACUAUGCCUGAGCAGAGCGAAGCCAGAGGAAACUCUGGUGGAGGUUCGUAGCGGUUCUGACGUGCAAAUCGAUCGUCAGACUUGGGUAUAGGGGCGAAAGACUAAUCGAAC